CGGAGUGGCGAACGGGUGAGUAACACAUCGGAACGUGUCCUGUAAUGGGGGAUAACCUAGCGAAAGUUAGGCUAAUACCGCAUACGUCCUACGGGAGAAAGCGGGGGAUCGCAAGACCUCGCGUUAUAGGAGCGGCCGAUGUCGGAUUAGCUAGUUGGUGGGGUAAAGGCCUACCAAGGCGACGAUCCGUAGCUGGUCUGAGAGGACGACCAGCCACACUGGAACUGAGACACGGUCCAG
rnacentral:rRNA from 1 species